AGCGAACGCUGGCGGCAUGCUUAACACAUGCAAGUCGCACGGCCCGCAAGGGCAGUGGCGGACGGGUGAGUAACGCGUAGGUAUCUGUCUCCGGGGUGGGGAUAACUGUGGGAAACUAACAGCUAAUACCGCAUGAAGCCUGAGGGCCGAAAGGACGCAAGUCGCCUGGAGAGGAGCCUGCGUACGAUUAGCUUGUUGGGCGGGGUAAA
rnacentral:rRNA from 1 species